rnacentral:rRNA from 1 species
UAACGAAUCUUCCGCAAUGCACGAAAGUGUGACGGAGCGACGCCGCGUGGAGGACGAAGUUCUUCGGAAUGUAAACUCCUGUCAGGGGAAAGAAAGUUCUGAUCUACCCCAGAGGAAGAGGCGGCUAACUCUGUGCCAGCAGCCGCGGUAAUACAGAGGCCUCGAGCGUUAGACGGAAUCACUGGGCUUAAAGCGUGUGUAGGCGGAAGGGUAAGUACCUUGUGAAAUCCCACGGCUUAACCGUGGAACGGCUUGGUAUACUGCUUUUCUUGAGCAAUCUAGGGGCGAGUGGAACAGAUGGUGGAGCGGUGAAAUGCGUAGAUAUCAUCUGGAACGCCAAUGGUGAAGACAACUCGCUGGGGAUUUGCUGACGCUGAGACACGAAAGCCAGGGGAGCGAACGGGAUUAGAUACCCACGUAGUCCCUGAGCGGGCUGGCAAGGCGCAU